rnacentral:rRNA from 1 species
CCUACGGGUGGCAGCAGUCGAGAAUUUUUCACAAUGGGGGAAACCCUGAUGGAGCGACGCCGCGUGGGGGAUGAAUGGCUUCGGCCCGUAAACCCCUGUCAUUUGCGAACAAACCCCACGGCUGAACAGGUCGUGGGCUGAUAGUAGCAGAAGAGGAAGGGACGGCUAACUCUGUGCCAGCAGCCGCGGUAAUACAGAGGUCCCGAGCGUUGUUCGGAUUCACUGGGCGUAAAGGGUGCGUAGGCGGCAGGGUAAGUUUGAGGUGAAAUCUCCGGGCUCAACCCGGAAAAUGCCUCGAAUACUAUCCUGCUGGAGGAUCGGAGGGGAGACUGGAAUUCUCGGUGUAGCAGUGAAAUGCGUAGAUAUCGAGAGGAACACCAGUGGCGAAGGCGAGUCUCUGGACGAUUCCUGACGCUGAGGCACGAAAGCCAGGGGAGCAAACGGGAUUAGAUACCCUAGUAGUC